UACAGAGACUGCAAGCGUUAUUCGGAUUCACUGGGCGUAAAGGGUGCGCAGGCGGCCGUGUGUGUGAGGCGUGAAAGCCCGGGGCUCAACCCCGGAAUUGCACCUCAAACUACAUGGCUAGAGCAUUGGAGAGGGAAGCGGAAUUCACGGUGUAGCAGUGAAAUGCGUAGAUAUCGUGAGGAACACCAGAGGCGAAGGCGGCUUCCUGGACAAUUGCUGACGCUCAGGCACGAAAGCGUGGGGAGCGAACAGG
rnacentral:rRNA from 1 species